GUCCCGUAACGAGCGCAACCCUUGUCCUUAGUUACCAGCACGUUAUGGUGGGCACUCUAAGGAGACUGCCGGUGACAAACCGGAGGAAGGUGGGGAUGACGUCAAGUCAUCAUGGCCCUUACGGCCUGGGCUACACACGUGCUACAAUGGUCGGUACAAAGGGUUGCCAAGCCGCGAGGUGGAGCUAAUCCCAUAAAACCGAUCGUAGUCCGGAUCGCAGUCUGCAACUCGACUGCGUGAAGUCGGAAUCGCUAGUAAUCGUGAAUCAGAAUGUCACGGUGAAUACCGUUCCCGGGCCUU
rnacentral:rRNA from 1 species